ensembl:snRNA U2 U2 spliceosomal RNA
AUAGCUUCUCGGCCUUUUGGCUAAGAUCAAGUGUGGUAUCUGUUCUUAUCAGUUUAAAUACUACUUAGCACAUUGGUUUCAGUUUGGCUGUGGGGUCCUUCAUUGAACAAUUCUGAUGAAGUCAAAUUAAC